rnacentral:rRNA from 1 species
GACGAACGCUGGCGGCGUGCUUAACACAUGCAAGUCGAACGAAGUGGCGAACGGGUGAGUAAUACGUGGGUAACCUGCCCUCCUUUUUGGGAUAAGCCUUGGAAACGGGGUCUAAUACCGAAUAAAGGGGGAUGGGCUCGCGGCCUAUCAGCUUGUUGGUGGGGUGAUGGCCUACCAAGGCGGUGACGGGUAGCCGGGCUGCGAGGGUGACUGGCCACAUUGGGAGUGAGAUACGGCCCAGAGUGCGACGGGAGGCAGCAGUGGGGGAUAUUGCACAAUGGGGGAAAGCCUGAGGCAGCGACGCCGAGUGGGGGAUGAAGGCUUUCGGGUUGUAAACCUCUUUCGAUAUCGAAAGGGUAGGUGGAGAAGAAGCGCCGGCUAACUACGUGCCAGCAGCCGCGGUAAUUC